AACGAACGCUGGCGGCACGUUUUAAGCAUGCAAGUCGAAUGGCAGCAGGGGCAACUCUGUGAGAAUGGCGAACGGGUGAGUAACACGUAGGUGAUCUGCCUUGAGGAUGGGGAUAGCCUGUGGAAACACAGGGUAAUACCGAAUAAGCUGACGGGACUUUGGUUUUGUUAGUAAAGGUGCUACGGCACCGCCUUGAGAGGAGCCUGCGGCUGAUUAGCUAGUUGGUGGGGUAAAGGCCUACCAAGGCGACGAUCAGUAGCCGGCCUGAGAGGGUGUACGGCCACACUGGGACGGAGACACGGCCCAGACUCCUACGGGAGGCAGCAGCUAAGAAUCUUCCGCAAUGGGCGAAAGCCUGACGGAGCGAUGCCGCGUGAUCGAUGAAGGUCGAGAGAUUGUAAAGAUCUUUUCUACAUGAGGAAUAAGUCUGGGAGGGAAUGCCUGGAUGAUGACGUUAGUGUAGGAAUAAGCCCCGGCUAAUUACGUGCCAGCCGCCGCCGUAA
rnacentral:rRNA from 1 species